rnacentral:lncRNA from 1 species
GACGUCGAACCACUAGCUGGCUGUGCAGAGGAUUGAGAACGCUUAUGGGCCAUCUGGCAUUCGUAGAGAUAAAACUAAUAAGUAAUAUGAAGAAUGCACGUGAUUCGAUGCAAUGUGGAAUGAAACACCACACACACAAAUGAGGCACAAUAGAGAUGCAUCGACAAACGUGAAUGACCCUAAGCACAAACGAAGUAAGAUGAAGAUAUAGACCAAAAAUAUGUGUGAACACACCUAUCAUGGCACGUGAUGACAAAGAACCAACGACGAAAAGGAAAGAAAGAAAUGAGAUGCACAAAAAAAAGGAGGAAACAAAGAGUAAAAUAGGUAAGGAAUUUCAUCGAGCAUGUGGCGUGCAUCACUUUGUCACACAAUUCCAAGCACAUACGAGAUCCAAUCACCCAUCUAAUCAUAGUCCCUCAAACUAGAAACGACGUACUUUAAAAUGAAACAAACCACACGUCAAACGGAUUAACGAAAUGCAAGAACGAACGAAUUGAAAAUGGAGGAAAAACAUGUAAACCACAUAGUGUGAAGAAUGAAGAAAACGAACAAUGCAAUGGAAAUCGUGAUGCACAACGCGUGAGAUAACUCCCAAUAAAAAAAGAAUGUCGAAGCUUCUAUAAAUUAAGUAACAAUCAAGCAAGAAUACCGAAGUAAGCAAAACACACGAAAAAGAGCAAAACAAAACGAAAAAGAAAAAAGAUUACCGCAAUGUGAUGUUUAGCAAAGGAAUCCGGAAGAAAAAUGUUGUUAGGGGCCUCAAAGUUAAGUUAUCAAUUGAUGAAAAUUGAGAAAAAAACACAAGAAGGAAGAAAGAAGAGAGAAAAAUCAAGAAAUUGCGCGAAAAAAAUGAAACCGGGUAUUUUAAAAAGUGACCUGUCGCUCGAGCGAGGAUCUAGCGAGACUCGAGCGACAAGCAAACUGUUUUUAUCACUCGAGCGAAGACCAGGCGAGACUCGAGCAAAACACCAAAUGUCAAAAAUAGCACUAAAAAUUUGAAUUUUGAGAAAAAUAACAUAAUCUUCAAGAAAUGACGAAAUUAGCCCCAAAUCGUGAAAUUUCAAAAAUAAUUGAACUACGUAAUAGUGGAAAAUAAUCCAAAAAAAAUAGCAUGGAACCACAUAUGCAAUCAAAACCAACAAUAAGCAUAAAAUCACAAACCCGACCACCAGCACGUAGACAAAUCGUUAAUCCACACAUAGUUCAGAAUCCUGUGUAGUAAAGUGUAUACAGAACAUCACCGUGAAAAGUGCCACGUAGUCCAUGCAAGCUAGACUCAAAACCUUAAAUUAGUGAGAAAGGACACGUGAAAACAACCAGAUAAAGGUGAAU